CAGACUAGGCUGGACUUGAGAAUCAGACUUGGCUGGCUAGACUUGAGAAUCUGACUAGGCUGAACUUGAGAAUCAGUUUGAAUAACAUGUGAGGUUUGAGGAGCUGUCACUUUCACUCAUGAUGUGUGUGCACCUACCAACCUUAACUUUUAUCUCAUUGUUUCUCUUUAAAUAUUAUUGUACCAUGAACCAUUUUGAAUUAUGCAAUAAACUUAUUCUACUCGCCUCUUUCUCAUGUCU
rnacentral:lncRNA from 1 species